rnacentral:rRNA from 1 species
GACGAACGCUGGCGGCGUGCUUAACACAUGCAAGUCGAACGGAAAGUCCCUGUCUUUGUGGGCUGGUCGAGUGGCGAACGGGGGAGCAACACGUGAGUUACCUGUCCCUGACCUUGGGAUAACUUCAUGAAACUGGGGCUAAUACCGGAUAGGAGCUCCUGCCGCAUGGUGGGGGUUGGAAAGUUUCGGCGGUUGGGAGUGGACUAGCGGCGCAUCAGAUUGUUGGUGGGGUAGUGGAUUACCAAGGCCUUGACGGGUAGCCGGCCUGAGAGGGUGACCGGCCACAUUGGGACUGAGAUGCGACACAGACUCCUACCGUAGGCAGCGGUGGAGAAUAGUACACUAGGGGAGGAGGCCUGAUGCAGCAACGCAGCGUGCGGUAUGACGGCCAGCGGGUUGUGAACCGCUUUCGCCUGUGACGAAGCGUGAGUGACGGUAAUGGGUAAAGAAGCACCGGCUAACUACGUG